ACUAACCUCGCGCCAGGAACAUGCUGCUGGACCAGUGCCAGCAAAGCUGCCAUGUCUGCCAGAAAGAUGAAGUGCAGCCGCUUCUUGUACCUUCAUCCUGGUCGGUGGGAGCUGGAGGGAUCGGCAUGCCUGCUUCUAAAGGAAUCCCACCCCAGUAGUUGAGCUGAAAGAUGAAGUACCAAGGCCUGGGGAUGCCAUACUGACCUGAGAAUACAUUCACACACAUGUGUCUUCACACCAAAAGGAUAAUACUGGGAAACACUGCUUCAAUGUACCAGGCUGCAAUAGCAUAGAUGAAGGCGUCCACGUAAAGCAUACAUAUGGAGGUGGUGAAGCUGUA